UGCGUAGUUGGUGGCCGCCGCGGCGCGGAUGGGGGUACUGGGAGGCAGUGUGAGGGUUGCGCUCACCUCGUCUGUCCACAUCUAAACAUUGUUCUCGUUCUAUUAAUAAAACAAUGCAUAUGCUAAUUAACUUCUUUUAAUGUACACGAUACAGAUGAGACACCUCUCUUAGUUUGGGCCGAGGAGAUUUCGGGACGAUUUAAUGGGCUUUGUUAAAUCAAUAAAGCUAUGAUAGACUUUCCUAAACAAGAGCACUAGAAAACGGAUCUUAUUGUAUCGUGCCAAUUCGUUGAGCCCCUAAAAGAAACCUGGGAGAAAGCAUUGGACAUGUAGUAGUGUCGAAAUAAGAAAAGAAACGAAAAAAGAAAUCUGACCUACCGGAUUCAAAUCAGUAACCGGGGCUUAGGGUAUCAUGCCAAUUCAUUGAAACACUGGAAACCGGGGCUUAGAGUAUCAUGCCAAUUCAUUGAACCCCUAAAAGAAAACUGGAAGGAAGCAUUUGGACCUGUAAUAAUGUCAAAAAAGAAAA
rnacentral:lncRNA from 1 species